rnacentral:rRNA from 1 species
UACGUAGGGGGGCUAGCGUUGUCCGGAAUCAUUGGGCGUAAAGAGCGUGUAGGCGGCCCGGUAAGUCCGCUGUGAAAGUCGGGGGCUCAACCCUCGGAUGCCGGUGGAUACUGUCGGGCUCGAGUACGGAAGAGGCGAGUGGAAUUCCUGGUGUAGCGGUGAAAUGCGCAGAUAUCAGGAGGAACACCUAUUGCGAAGGCAGCUCGCUGGGACGUUACUGACGCUGAGACGCGAAAGCGUUGGGAGCGAACAGG